AGUUUGUAAUACAACAAAGAAAAUAAUGUAAUAUUUUCAUAAACACCAUCAAAUUUCAAAGCACGCCCUUCAGGUUGAAAUGAAGACAAACAGUUAAGCACAAGGUGUCGUCUGAAAAUGAGCUCUGGCAUCAAGUUGAAGCUUUCGAGAUGUUUUCAUGUGGCCUUUGUAAAACACUUUAGUUGGUGGUGUAGACUUUGUAAGCCUGCAGCGCUCACCAACCCUUUUCGAAUCAUUCAUUUCAUCUUCUGUAAAAAAUACAAGAUUUAUGAAUUAAACCAAAUGAAUCACA